rnacentral:rRNA from 1 species
UGGGGAAUAUUGGACAAUGGGGGGAACCCUGAUCCAGCCAUGCCGCGUGUGUGAAGAAGGCCUUAUGGUUGUAAAGCACUUUAAGCGAGGAGGAGGGUACUGGUAUUAAUACUACCAGGUACUGGACGUUACUCGCAGAAUAAGCACCGGCUAACUCUGUGCCAGCAGCCGCGGUAAUACAGAGGGUGCGAGCGUUAAUCGGAUUUACUGGGCGUAAAGCGUGCGUAGGCGGCUAAUUGAGUCGGAUGUGAAAUCCCCGAGCUUAACUUGGGAAUUGCAUUCGAUACUGGUUAGCUAGAGUGUGGGAGAGGAUGGUAGGAUUCCAGGUGUGGCGGUGAAAUGCGUAGAGAUCUGGAGGAAUACCGAUGGCGAAGGCAGCCAUCUGGCCUAACACUGACGCUGAGGUACGAAAGCAUGGGGAGCAAACAGG